ACGAAGGUGGCAAGCGUUGUUCGGUAUUACUGGGCUUAAAGCGUGUGUAGGCGGAUAAAUUAGCGUUUUGUGAAAUCCCUCGGCUUAACCGAGGAAUUGCUUGACGAACUGUUUAUCUUGAGGCAAGUAGGGGUGCACGGAACUCUUGGUGGAGCGGUGGAAUGCGUAGAUAUCAAGAGGAACGCCAGUGGUGAAGACGGUGCACUGGGCUUGUUCUGACGCUGAGACACGAAAGCGUGGGGAGCAAACAGG
rnacentral:rRNA from 1 species